rnacentral:rRNA from 1 species
ACGAACGCUGGCGGCGUGCUUAACACAUGCACGUCGAACGGAAAGGCCCUGCUUGCAGGGUACUCGAGUGGCGAACGGGUGAGUAACACGUGGGUGAUCUGCCCUGCACUUCGGGAUAAGCCUGGGAAACUGGGUCUAAUACCGGAUAGGAGCCAUUUUUAGUGUGAUGGUUGGAAAGUUUUUUCGGUGUAGGAUGAGCUCGCGGCCUAUCAGCUUGUUGGUGGGGUAAUGGCCUACCAAGGCGGCGACGGGUAGCCGGCCUGAGAGGGUGGACGGCCACAGUGGGACUGAGAUACGGCCCAGACGCCUACGGGAGGCAGCAGUGGGGAAUAUUGCACAAUGGGCGCAAGCCUGAUGCAGCGACGCCGCGUGGGGGAGGACGGCCUUCGGGUUGUAAACUCCUUUCGCUAGGGACGAAGCUUUUUGUGACGGUACCUAGAUAAGAAGCACCGGCUAACUACGUG